UCGACGAACUCUGGUAUUGAUUGGUGCUUGCAUCAUGAUUUACAUUUGAGUGAGUGGCGAACUGGUGAGUAACACGUGGGAAACCUGCCCAGAAGCGGGGGAUAACACCUGGAAACAGAUGCUAAUACCGCAUAACAACUUGGACCGCAUGGUCCGAGUUUGAAAGAUGGCUUCGGCUAUCACUUUUGGAUGGUCCCGCGGCGUAUUAGCUAGAUGGUGAGGUAACGGCUCACCAUGGCAAUGAUACGUAGCCGACCUGAGAGGGUAAUCGGCCACAUUGGGACUGAGACACGGCCCAAACUCCUACGGGAGGCAGCAGUAGGGAAUCUUCCACAAUGGACGAAAGUCUGAUGGAGCAACGCCGCGUGAGUGAAGAAGGGUUUCGGCUCGUAAAACUCUGUUGUUAAAGAAGAACAUAUCUGAGAGUAACUGUUCAGGUAUUGACGGUAUUUAACCAGAAAGCCACGGCUAACUACGUGCCAGCAGCCGCGGUAAUACGUAGGUGGCAAGCGUUGUCCGGAUUUAUUGGGCGUAAAGCGAGCGCAGGCGGUUUUUUAAGUCUGAUGUGAAAGCCUUCGGCUCAACCGAAGAAGUGCAUCGGAAACUGGGAAACUUGAGUGCAGAAGAGGACAGUGGAACUCCAUGUGUAGCGGUGAAAUGCGUAGAUAUAUGGAAGAACACCAGUGGCGAAGGCGGCUGUCUGGUCUGUAACUGACGCUGAGGCUCGAAAGUAUGGGUAGCAAACAGGAUUAGAUACCCUGGUAGUCCAUACCGUAAACGAUGAAUGCUAAGUGUUGGAGGGUUUCCGCCCUUCAGUGCUGCAGCUAACGCAUUAAGCAUUCCGCCUGGGGAGUACGGCCGCAAGGCUGAAACUCAAAGGAAUUGACGGGGGCCCGCACAAGCGGUGGAGCAUGUGGUUUAAUUCGAAGCUACGCGAAGAACCUUACCAGGUCUUGACAUACUAUGCAAAUCUAAGAGAUUAGACGUUCCCUUCGGGGACAUGGAUACAGGUGGUGCAUGGUUGUCGUCAGCUCGUGUCGUGAGAUGUUGGGUUAAGUCCCGCAACGAGCGCAACCCUUAUUAUCAGUUGCCAGCAUUAAGUUGGGCACUCUGGUGAGACUGCCGGUGACAAACCGGAGGAAGGUGGGGAUGACGUCAAAUCAUCAUGCCCCUUAUGACCUGGGCUACACACGUGCUACAAUGGAUGGUACAACGAGUUGCGAACUCGCGAGAGUAAGCUAAUCUCUUAAAGCCAUUCUCAGUUCGGAUUGUAGGCUGCAACUCGCCUACAUGAAGUCGGAAUCGCUAGUAAUCGCGGAUCAGCAUGCCGCGGUGAAUACGUUCCCGGGCCUUGUACACACCGCCCGUCACACCAUGAGAGUUUGUAACACCCAAAGUCGGUGG
rnacentral:rRNA from 2 species